rnacentral:lncRNA from 1 species
CGUAUGCUUUUAAACUCACUAAAUGAAAGCCCAGCAUGCAUGCUGCCUCCCUCCAAAUUAAUCACUGGAUUAAAUGCAAGACGUGCACCCCAAAUCAAUAGCUUGUGACAGAGAACUCCUGCCUGUGCUUCAGGAAAAUUCCACUUCCUUUCAGAUGUUGUCACUUGAAAUGUCAGGAAGUUUCCAUUCAUCACCCACCCUUGAAAAGGCCACCAUGACCAUACUUCACAUUUCCUUGCUGCCUUUCUUCAGAGGAAUUAAGGCAUAUGGCAGAGGGAGCCUUCUCAUUGUCACAG